UAUAUAUAUAUAUAUAUAUAUAUAUAUAUAUAUAUAUAUAUAUAUAUAUAUAUAUAUAUAACUUGAUAUGGAAGUGACAAGAAUUAGAUCAUAUAAAUUAUUUCUCAAAGCUGGAAUGGUAUUAUCUCUACAUGCACACAAAAAAAGACAUAGAAAAUUUAAAGAAUGCAUUCUCAUAGAGCAGAGAUCAUGAUAGCCCAAAGCCUGAGAAACCACUGAAGAGAGACUGAGGCCACCAACCCAAAAGGAAAGAAUGAAAAUUAACAUCUAAAUACAUUGUAUAAGGCAUGAACAGGGUAGAGAAUGGGACACACAUGAUCUAUUUUCAUGAGACAAAGGGAGUACAAGGAGAAUGGAAAAAGUUUAUAGGAUCUACAGAAGAAAUAUAAAAAUUUAUGGCUUUCCAUGGAGAUUCACACAUAUUUGGAGCAACAUAGAUGGAGAAGUGAUUCAUACAAGAAAAUUUUUAAUUUCUUGUAUAAUUAUGAAAUUUGUAAUUUCUUUUAAUAUAAAUAGUUGAGAAUGAAUUUGGUAGAAACAAAGUUGAGAAGGAUCCAAAAAUUUGUGUUGCAGCUUCAUGGAAGUCAGAAAAAGAGCAGUCUGCCAUAUUUGCUUUCUCUUUCAAGAAUCAUUUCCCUUAAUGUAGAUUUUGUCUCCUUCCACAUGGCCAUUUUUCUUAAUAUAACUGAAUAAUUACAUUUAAGUUCUGUGUACAAGAUUAUGGUGAAAUUACCAAUGCCACUCCAUACACUAUUUUGCCAGCUCUUCUCCUUUGGGUUAGCUCUCAGUCCAUCAAGAAAUGCCUGGGGUGCCUUAAAUUUAAGGAGAUCUUUAUAAUAAGAAUGCUAGGCUGGAUAGAGUUAAAUUCAACAGCUUGGCAAAAGUAAAUGCUUCUUUAUUAUUUUGUGUAUAUUUAUUUACAAUUUGAAUUUAGACUUUAUUUUUUUUAAAUACUCUCGUCAUUAUGCUUCAAAUAAUUUUUUAACAUAAUUCUUGUGGGAUUUACAUUUAACAAUUACUGGUUUAUUAUAUUUUGUUUAAACCUGCCACUAAGACAAAAUUUAAUUUAAUUUUCCUUAUCCAACUGCAUAUAUUUUAGUAGACAAGGAAACAAGACAAUAUGAACACAGCUCUUUUUUUGUCCGUAAACAUAUUAUUAGUGAUAAAUACUUAUUCAAAUCUGCAUGUGCAUGCUCCAAAUUACUAGGUUUUAUGUGAAUGACACAUAAAACAGGAAAGGAAUGGAUGAGUAGAUUUUGUAUAUUUGGAUCUAAAGAAACCAUUUAACAAGGUCUCACACAGAAGACUUGUUAUGAAAAUUGGAAAAUUGAGGACUGAAGGGAACAAUUAAGAACUAAAUGAAGACUAUUUGACAAGAAGGUCAAUGAGAGCAAUGGUAAGAGAUGAAAAAUCAGUGAAGUGAAGUAGCAAGUGGGGUACCACAGGGAUAAUUUUGGUUGUACACUCUGCAGCUGUGUUGAAAGGCAACUGAAAGGAACAAAAUGAGGGGAUUGAAACUCCUUCCCCUGUGUUUUCUUUCUCCAUAAAGGAGUAUCUUAGAAAUAAAAACAAGUGAAGGUAAAUUAUAUGCUCAAAGAAGUAAGUUAUAUAGCUACAAGUCUGUCUGCAUAUGAUACUCAUACAAAAUCAUUGAGGAAUAUUUCAAGAAACCUCAAGGAUUCUGAAGGCAUAGAGUGAUUUUAAAAAAUAUGAAUGAAAUACAAGAUGAGAAUUGGAAUUUAAUGCAAGUAAAUGUAAUGCAAUGUAAGUGGAAAAGUAAACACAGACACAGGCCUAAAAGUCGCAAAAUAACAUAAUAUGAAAAGUAAAUGAAGAAAAUGAGAGACUAGUGAGUAUCACAAGAAAAGCACAUUCACAAGAUGUUUGUUAUUAUAUACUAGGAGGAUGCUGAAAAAAAUAAAAGUGGAUGUCCUUUCACUUCCAGAAUAAUCAUCGAGUAAUAACAGUGUUUGAUUAGACAAAGUAGAAUAUGUAUGUUAAACUUGUGUGGUCUUCUCACAAGAAAUAAAUUGUAAAGAAAUUGUAAAGAAUACAAAUAAAGGAAUUAAGAUGUGGAAUAGUUGGAAAAUCUAUCUUAUAAGGGAAAAUUAAAAGAAAUGAGACUAUCAUCAAUAGAAGAAAGAAGAAAGUGAGGAGAUAUAAUUACAAAAUAAAUAUCAAUAACUAAACUGAAAAAAAAGAUAUAUGAGAAAUCUACUAUUGUAUGAGAUAAACAGAGAUUGGGCAUUUGAGGCAACACAAGAAAAUAAAUCUGUUUGAUUUAUAUUUUAAAAAAUGUGUCUUUCUCUUUAGAUAUAGAUAUAUGUAAAGGACUAUGAGAAUAGAAGGAGUGUGCAUUAACUACAAAUAAGACUGGAAGAAUAAAGAUGCAAAGGUGGAAACAUGAAUGUAGAUCAGUCCCUGCAUACAGCUUGGUAUGCACACACACACACACACACACACACACACACACACACACACACACACACACACACACUUUCUGACACAUACAAUAAGCUUGAGUAAGAGGUACUUCAUGCCAGAAACAUUCAUGAGUUCAAGGAGAAACUUGAUAACCUGACAUAUAGAGACAGGACCCUGCAAGCCUAGCUCACUUCCUAUAUAUUACAACUAAGUAGAGACACACUCAACAUCAUCAAAACUCUAAGGGCAAAACUCGUUUUUUUUUUUUUUUUCCAAAAAAAUAUUAAAUAGGUAAAUGAACAAAAGUUAUGCCCCCACAAAGUUCAACGUGAUUGCAGAUCACAACUAUUAUGUUAUAUUAUUAUUAUUAUUAUUAUUAUUAUUAUUAUUAUUAUUAUUAUUAUUAUUAUUAUAGAGAAAGCCCUUUUUUCUUUUUCAUACAAUUUUCCCCUGAUGAGUCAGGGAUGGGAUGGUGGCUCCUAAUGGAGGACUUUGGUUUGGCAUUUGGGAACUGUUACUCCAAGUGGUGCUCUUACUAACCAUGGAUCAUGGCUACAAUUUGAACCUGUGUACUUGAGAAUCCAUCAGCCUAAUUGUACAUGUAGUACCAUUGUACCAUGGCAACCCCACAACUUUUAUAUUGUAAUGAAUUACAAGUAUUGGGAUCUAAUACAAGUUGUUUACUACUACUUCAGCAUUCCUCCUCCCACUACAGUGCUUCAAGGGAGUGGGAUUAAUGACUCUCAUAAUAAUAUAACAAUCUCACUAUAGUACUUCUUAGAAAAGUUUAGAUUGUUUCAAUUUAUUGCAAGCAAACUUUUAUAAGGUACAUUGCCAUAAAUUAAAAGAAAAGGUUUUACUGAUAAGAAGUGAAAUAGUAAAUGAAACACAGAUCAAAUUGGUCAGAGGCACAGUCUCUCUAAGAGGUCAAUAGUGAAGAUAUUUAAUUUUGUAGUUCUUAGUCUUCCUAAUGUAAUACUAUUAGAUAUGAUCAAUAACACUUUGAACAGCUUUUUACAUAAUCUAGUUAAACGUCAGAGACCAUAACAUUGUUUUUACAAUACAAAAUCUAACAUGAAUCACUUAGUCUUCUUUCUUGAAUGGCACAAAUAUAGACAUAAAACAAUGCAGGAUAUACAUUAACAGAUACAGCUAUGUGUGUGUGAAAAGAAUUUCUAUAGUACUCUAUAUUCUGGCAGCUAUUAUUGUUCUGAAGUUAUCAUUCCAUUGAGGGAUUCUGCCCCUAAAAUUCAACACCUGACAGGAGCACUGCCUCCCAGCUAGCAUGUACCAUUUAAAGGUUGUAGUGAAUAAAUGGCUGAUUUCAUUCUUGAAAGAUUAAAUUCAUAAUUUAAAAAUUUUAUGGUUCCACAGACUCUUGGUUUAUUUAUUCAUAUAUUUAUUUAUUUAUUAUACAGUUUGUAACUUUAUGUUUUUGAAUGCUGAGAGGAACCUUAAUUUUUUUUUUCAGCAGAUAAGAACACUUUGUCUUCAUACUUUUAUGUGAUGUACUACUGUUUAAACUAGAAGCACCCUAUUCUGCUAGCUUUCCUUUACUUAUGGUUGAAAUUUACAUAUGUGCGAAGAAAUUCAUGAUCUCAUUUAUCUUUCAAUGUUCAAGCUAAAUGUGGUAAUAAAUUAUGUAUAUACUGUAUUCAUACAUGCAGCAGGCACAAUUAAGAAGCUAUUUUUGCUGUCACUAAUGCCUAACAUGAUGAAGCUGCCUUUAUAGUCCUCCACACCUUGCAGGAUUAUCAGGUGAAAUAUUUUAUACUUACAAGUAAAUGGUGUGCAUUUAAAAUUUAUUUUAUAAUAGUUAGUAGGAAAAUCUUAAAUAGAUGUAAAAUAAUGAAGGUGAAAUUUUGAGUAAAAAACAGAUGCAUCAGACAGCUGCUGCUCAUAAUGCCUUAGCGAGUUGGUCUGUCAGCUCAGCAACAAAACACAAGACCCAAGUAGGAUUCAGUUGAGAGAAAUCUCUCUUGGGUUGCUGUAUGAAGCCUUCAGAGCACAGAAGGCCAAGCAGGACCCUCAGUGGAGAGACACAAGAUAACAACAGAUCAAGGAGUACCAGGAUGAAGUUCACACAUCAUUCACUCACAAGACAAAAAAAAAGUACAGUAUCUUAAGAUUUGAACAAGUACUACACAUCAUUAGGGAAUGGGAAGUGACUAGCACCAGAAAGUAAUACAACAAACAAAUAAAGAUUUUCCACAAACCUUGAUCACUACAAUGUAAAACAAAGGAAGGCCAAUAAUGAAUUUAAAUAGAUGAAUAUACGGUUUAUUUAUUCUCCUGUACAAAGUUCCACCACCACCUGCCUCUAUGUGACUACUCCUGCUUCUUAUCUACAGGUGAGAAAUAAAAUGUUAUGCAGACACUUUCUCUGCUUGAGGACAAACUGUUUUGAUGUCCUCAGUCUACACUGGUAAACUGAACUCUCUUCAUUCUAACUUAUAGACAGGAUCUAAGCUUAUAUACUGGACAUUUAGUGCUCCAUUAUCAUUAAUAUACAUGUAAAAUGAGUUUUAAUUAAGAAGUAAAAAGCUGUUAUUUCUCACAUACUAUGCAUAAAAUUCUGAAAGGCACUAGCAAAUAUAUUUUGCAAUAUGUAUAUUUUCUGAUCAUUCAGUUGCCACAUAAACAGCCUCACAAAGUCAAACUUCCUCUCCAGGUGUGACUCAUCCAAGGGAAGGGAGUGGUUCCUUGAAGCCAAAACACUGCACUGGGGAUCUCAAUUAUAACAAGAUUCCUUCAUCCUCUUCGGCUUCCUAUUGGCGGUAAUUUUGAAGUUUAAAAUUGUGCAGACUUUAUGACAGAAAGACACCACAGAAAAAACAGACCUUAUGAUAUCUAAUGUUUUUAGUGGUCAUGUCGAAAUACAACAGGAAUAAGUUUCCCAUGCUUCUGAGUACACAGGCAGAGAGAAGCUGGCUGCUACAGGUCCCCACAAAAGUGCUCAUCAAGCCCUUGGGUAGUUAUAUGUAUGAUGCAUUCCUCACACAAAAUUUCAGUUAUGUAGUAAAAUAUUUCUUGCAUCAUAUGGCAAAGUAUCUUUUUUAGAUUGAAGCAAUGAAUGUAUGUCUGCUGUCCACAAUGUGAGGAGCAAGUGGGCCACAGGUGCAACCUGGCACUGUCCACACACAUUUCAAGCAGAGAGUGCCUCACCCUCACUCAUGGCUUUCCAAGUGCAGCUAACAGUAAUUUUGAGAUCAGUAUACAUAGCAACUUAAAAUUAUUCAUCUUAAGAUAUUACAAUGAAAUACAAAAAUAGUACAUAUUAUUACAGAAUAACAGAUCAAGAUUCAUCAUUCACAAGUAAAAGAGUUUAUUGAGAACAUUCAAUAUUCUGAACUAUCAGUCUCUGAAGUAAUAUACUUGAUAUUGCUUAUUCUUUUACCUGUUAAAUUGGAGCAUAAAAUAGAAAAUUACAAGCACAUAAGAAACAAGUUUUCAGUGCAUGAAAAUAACAGUUAUAAUAAUAAGGAACAUAUAAGCUUUGAUCCUCACUAUGUCACAUAAUAAACAAGUUUUUAAUACAUGAAAAUAAUAAAGUUAUAAUAAUAAUGAACACAUAAGCUGUGAUCCUCACUAUCUUCUGACCUGAUGGAAUGCAGCCACCACUACACCAACAGUGACUCUCCAGGAAACAUGACAUGAUGGAAACAAAGGGGACUUUUUUUUUUUUGUCUGACAGUGAAAGGAGAGUUGCUAACUAUUGACAAGACUGAUCCUGUUCAGACAUUAAAUUAUUUGACAUACAGUAUAUUAAUCUACCAUUCAUAGCCAUAAAUAUACCUACAAGCCAUAUAACUUUACUCCAAAGAGCUGUAUUCAGAACAUCAGAAAUUCUCAUUUAAUAAAUUUUAUAAAUUUUCACACAAGUGUUAUAGUUCUCUUCAUAAAUAAGACCUAAUUUUACCAUACUAGUGUCUGACCAUUUUAUCCUGGGCAUUUAGGAAUUGUCUUUUCCAUGGAUUUCUCAGCCUGCGGCACUGCCAAACUUUGUACCAGGCAAACUAUCAGAUUAGAGCCAAAGUUUCAAUGAUAACCUCAUUCCCCACACAACACCACCUCUCUCUCUCUCUCUCUCUCUCUCUCUCUCUCUCUCUCUCUCUCUUUGCAUAAAGAA